AAUUGAUGUCAGGUGCUUUCACUGAAUGUGUGCUUAAAACAGAGAUGCAAAGCAGAGUAUUACAACAUGAAGGCAGUACAAUUACAGCAUCUGUAUCACAGGACAACACAGGCUGAAUGGGAUGAAUAUGAUGUGGAAGAUCCGUGGUCGAGAAGGUACCUAGGCAGCCAGUGGAGACCUCCUGACCCCCUCAAUCCACUUCAGUCCAGUGAAUCAGGUUUCCGAGCUUUCAGGGCUCUCUCUGGACUUUCCUCCCAGGCCAGAACAAUGGCGGGCCCAGGAGCCCAGCUUCCCCACAGGCCCCGGUGAGAGGAGGCCGGGGGCUGGGUACUGAGGGAGCCGCUCAGCAUGCUGAAAUAUGGAGGCGACAGAUAAGGUGGCAGCGGCACAGAGAGGCCCUCUCCCAUGGGCCCAAGGGGAAAUUUGCAGUUAUUAAGAGGAAGAUGAGAGAGAUUAAAUGGCUUUUGUACUCAU